UACGUAGGGUGCAAGCGUUAAUCGGAAUUACUGGGCGUAAAGCGUGCGCAGGCGGUCUGUUAAGACCGAUGUGAAAUCCCCGGGCUUAACCUGGGAACUGCAUUGGUGACUGGCAGGCUUUGAGUGUGGCAGAGGGAGGUAGAAUUCCACGUGUAGCAGUGAAAUGCGUAGAGAUGUGGAGGAAUACCGAUGGCGAAGGCAGCCUCCUGGGCCAACACUGACGCUCAUGCACGAAAGCGUGGGGAGCAAACAGGA
rnacentral:rRNA from 1 species